rnacentral:rRNA from 1 species
CUUAGUAACUGCGAGUGAAGCGGCAAAAGCUCAAAUUUGAAAUCGGAUGUUUUUGACAUUUGAAUUGUAAUUUGGAGGGAUAUCUUCGGAGCUGGCGCUGUCCUAAGUUCUUUGGAACCAGACAUCAUAGAGGGUGAGAAUCCCGUGCCUGGGUGGCUGUCCAGUUCCAUGUGAAGUGUCUCCGACGAGUCGAGUUGUUUGGGAAUGCAGCUCAAAAUGGGUGGUAAAUUUCAUCUAAAGCUAAAUAUUGGCGAGAGACCGAUAGCGCACAAGUAGAGUGAUCGAAAGAUGAAAAGCACUUUGAAAAGAGAGUUAAACAGUACGUGAAAUUGUUGAAAGGGAAGCGCUUGAGACUAGAUUCGGCCGGCGGUCAUCAGCUACGUUUCUACGUGGUGCACUUGCCGUCGGUUGAGCCAGCAUCGGUUUUGAUGGCGGGAUAAAGGUUUCAGGAAUGUGGCUCCUCAAUUUUGAGGAGUGUUAUAGCCUGGAGCGCAAUGCCGCCUGUCGGGACCGAGGACCGCGCUUUUGCUAGGAUGCUGGCUAAAAGGUCUUAAGCGGCCCGUCUUGAAACACGGACCAAGGAGUCUAACAUCUAUGCGAGUGUUCGGGUGGAAAACCCUUGCGCGUAAUGAAAGUGAACGGAGGUGGGAACCCCUUUGGGGUGCACCAUCGACCGAUCCUGAUGUUUACGGAAGGAUUUGAGUAGGAGCAUAGCUGUUGGGACCCGAAAGAUGGUGAACUAUGCCUGAAUAGGGUGAAGCCAGAGGAAACCUUGGUGGAAGCUCGCAGCGGUUCUGACGUGCAAAUCGAUCGUCAAAUUUGGGUAUAGGGG